UACGGGGGGAGCAAGCGUUGUUCGGAUUUACUGGGCGUAAAGGGCGCGUAGGCGGUCUACUAAGUUGGAUGUGAAAACUCUGGGCUUAACCCAGAGCCUGCAUUCAAAACUGAUAGGCUAGAGUUCUGGAGGGGAUAGCGGAAUUCCUGGUGUAGCGGUGAAAUGCGUAGAUAUCAGGAGGAACACCGGUGGCGAAGGCGGGUCUCUGGGCAACAACUGACGCUGAGGAGCGAAAGCGUGGGGAGCGAACAGG
rnacentral:rRNA from 1 species